GAGCGGUAAGGCCCUUCGGGGUACACGAGCGGCGAACGGGUGAGUAACACGUGGGUGAUCUGCCCUGUACUUCGGGAUAAGCCUGGGAAACUGGGUCUAAUACCGGAUAUGACCCGAGGUUGCAUGACUUCGGGUGGAAAGAUUUAUCGGUACAGGAUGGGCCCGCGGCCUAUCAGCUUGUUGGUGGGGUAAUGGCCUACCAAGGCGACGACGGGUAGCCGGCCUGAGAGGGCGACCGGCCACACUGGGACUGAGACACGGCCCAGACUCCUACGGGAGGCAGCAGUGGGGAAUAUUGCACAAUGGGCGAAAGCCUGAUGCAGCGACGCCGCGUGAGGGAUGACGGCCUUCGGGUUGUAAACCUCUUUCGACAGGGACGAAGCGCAAGUGACGGUACCUGUAGAAGAAGCACCGGCCAACUACGUGCCAGCAGCCGCGGUAAUACGUAGGGUGCGAGCGUUGUCCGGAAUUACUGGGCGUAAAGAGCUUGUAGGCGGUUCGUCGCGUCGUUCGUGAAAACUUGGGGCUCAACCCCAAGCUUGCGGGCGAUACGGGCGGACUAGAGUACUUCAGGGGAGACUGGAAUUCCUGGUGUAGCGGUGAAAUGCGCAGAUAUCAGGAGGAACACCGGUGGCGAAGCGGGUCUCUGGGAAGUAACUGACGCUGAAAGCGAAAGCGUGGGUAGCGAACAGGAUUAGAUACCCUGGUAGUCCACGUCGUAAACGGUGGGUACUAGGUGUGGGUUUCCUUCCACGGGAUCCGUGCCGUACUAACGCAUUAAGUACCCCGCCUGGGGAGUACGGCCGCAAGGUAAAACUCAAAGGAAUUGACGGGGGCCCGCACAAGCGGCGGAGCAUGUGGUUAAUUCGAUGCAACGCGAAGAACCUUACCUGGGUUUGACUACACCGGAAACCUGCAAAUGUCCGUGUGGCAUGUGUCUCAGCUCGGAGGUUAGCCACACCUCUAAUGGG
rnacentral:rRNA from 1 species